UACGGAGGGGGCUAGCGUUGUUCGGAAUUACUGGGCGUAAAGCGCACGUAGGCGGCUUUGUAAGUUAGAGGUGAAAGCCCGGAGCUCAACUCCGGAAUUGCCUUUAAGACUGCAUCGCUCGAAUCAUGGAGAGGUGAGUGGAAUUCCGAGUGUAGAGGUGAAAUUCGUAGAUAUUCGGAAGAACACCAGUGGCGAAGGCGGCUCACUGGCCCGAUACUGACGCUGAGGCACGAAAGCGUGGGGAGCAAACAGG
rnacentral:rRNA from 1 species